rnacentral:rRNA from 1 species
GGCGGCACGCCUAACACAUGCAAGUCGAGCGGCAGCGAGAGUAGUAGCAAUACUACUUGUCGGCGAGCGGCGGACGGGUGAGGAACACGUAGGAAUCUGCCCAGAAGAGGGGGAUAACCAAGGGAAACUUUGGCUAAUACCGCAUAAUCUCGAGAGAGAAAAGCUGCCCGCAAGGGUGGCGCUUUUGGAGGAGCCUGCGUCCGAUUAGCUAGUUGGUAGGGUAAAGGCCUACCAAGGCGAUGAUCGGUAACUGGUCUGAGAGGACGACCAGUCACACUGGGACUGAGACACGGCCCAGACUCCUACGGGAGGCAGCAGUGGGGAAUAUUGGACAAUGGGGGCAACCCUGAUCCAGCGAUGCCGCGUGAGUGAAGAAGGCCUUCGGGUCGUAAAGCUCUUUANGUUGGGAAGAAGANUAUGAGGGUAACAUCCUUGU